rnacentral:rRNA from 1 species
CAAUAGCGUAUAUUUAAGUUGCUGCAGUUAAAAAGCUCGUAGUUGGAUUUCGGGUGGGAAUGGCCGGUCCGCCGUUUCGGUGUGCACUUGCUACGCCCACCUUGCUGCCGGGGACGUGCUCUUGAGUUCACGCUCGGGACACGGAGUCGGCGAGGUUACUUUGAGUAAAUUAGAGUGUUCAAAGCAGGCCUACGCUCUGAAUACAUUAGCAUGGAAUAACACGAUAGGACUCUGGCCUAUCUUGUUGGUCUGUAGGACCGGAGUAAUGAUUAAGAGGGACAGUCGGGGGCAUUCGUAUUUCAUUGUCAGAGGUGAAAUUCUUGGAUUUAUGAAAGACGAACUACUGCGAAAGCAUUUGCAAAGGAUGUUUUCAUUAA